GUCUGGAAGUGAGGGUGAAUUUUGCAAAAGGUGUUCAGUUUCUAUAAUGCCCCAUGCUUGUUCUGCUCCACACUCCACACGUACCUCUAUGUUCUGUAAUUGAAUGGCGUCCGAAUCUGGUUAAUCUUCAAAAUCUUUGAGUGUGUUUCAAAAAACGUGAAUUUCUGGGUCUCAUCGCAUCUCUAGGAAAUCAGAAUGCAAAUCUCCCGAGAUGGGGUGGGGAAACUUACCGUCCUCCGGUAUUAUCCUUGGGGGCUAAGAGCAGCUCACCGGCUAUUGGGAGCCACUGAAGGGUUUUCCAGCAAGAGGCUGUCAAGAAGUCAGCUGUGUUUUAUACAACGUGUUUAGAAACACCUUUUCCUAACAGCAAUCCUGUGGAUGGCCGGGAGACACACACUGAUUUCCAUUUUAUAUUUGAGGAAACUGAGAUUUAGAGGGUCAAGUGAUUUGUACAAGGCCAGCAACUAAUAUUUUGAUUUCUAUUUCUUAGUCCAACACUCUUCCCAUUACGCCACAACUAGUUUUUUAAAACACGAUUUGGAUCUUCUUACAUAAGUACUGGAGUUAAAUUUGGAGAGAAAAGAUGAUAAAACCGAAGGAACGAAUCUUUAUUGACCUACGUGAUUAUUUCUCUUUGUGUCUACAUGUACAAACUGGUUAGAAUGGGUAUAUUUUUUAAAAAGUCAUAAGAAAAAAACAGAAAAGAAAACCAUGAGUUGGCAUUUGACUCACAGAGCGGCUGCUGGCCCAUGUGGUAGAUAAAGAAUGGCGUCCAUUCCUGUGGGGGACCAACCCUGUGCUGGAUUGCAAGGUGGGUGAACUUAGAGAAGACGGGAUUUUCACCUCCCACAUUGCUGGGUCACCAGAUCCUGUUGUCUGGUGCACAACAUGCCCACCAUCAACAGCAAGCCGGUAGCAAGCAAACUGUGUGAGAGUCAAGGGUGGGGAAAGAAUUGCAAGUGGGGAAACUUAAACCUCUAGAGUUGUUUAGAAUUUGAAAUAAAACAUACUAAGUCUUUUCGUGAGGCUACUGCGGUGUAAAGCAGUGGCACUUUACUCUCACUGUCCAUUGGCAUGGCCUGGGAAGCUAGCAUAAAAAACACAGCCGUGCUUGGGCCCCAAUCCCGCAAUGCAGGUUUACCCGGGUUUUGUCAGUUCUCCUGGCAGAAGUGCAUACUACGAGUUCCCAGGUGAUACUCCUGUACUUUAUGCUGGGAUAACGUAAAGCCUAACAGUGACAUCGUACUCCCUUGUCACCAAAACUCACAUGUGGGGAAGAAUUUCUGAAACAAAAUUCCCUAGUACAUGUGACAUGACUAUGCUGUUUUGGGGACCAUUCUUGUCUUAGGACAAUUUCUGUCAAUGUUUAAAUGAAUGAUUUGAUUAUUUGUUUGAAUGCAGGAGAAGAUAACAGGCCUGCUUAGGGUAGGAAUUGCAUCAACGGUAUAGUUUCUUAUCUUCUUUUAAAGAAACAGAAUUUAUAUUUUUGGAACGUAAUACUUUUCUUUUUGAAAAAUGAUACCUUUCUUUUUUCACAUUUCAGAAAAUACUGUGGAAUGACCUAAAUGUACAAUCAACAAAGCUUUAGGGUAACCCACCUAUUUUUGUGAUGCUUCUAUAUGAGCCCUUAGGAGUGUGUCAAAGUGGACAGACACUCUGGCUGCAGGAGCCCCUACCACAGAGACCCCGCCUCAGAAGAUGCAUUCAUAGACAAAGAGCCUGUAUCAAGCUUCCUCUCACUCUGAUGCCAGUGCCCAGAUCCAGACACCAGGGAACGACCGCUGCCCAGAGCUUGAAGAUGGGAGGGUGCAAGGCAGCUGCCAAAAGCUUCUGGAUUUUCCCGGUAGCUGUGACCCAGAGCCCUUCCUCUCUCCUGGCUGUUCUGCUUCAACUUGGACUGUGAAAAUCAUUGACCUGUCUGUCAGCUUUCAGAUCUUCACAAUUGUUCUUAGGUAGCUUCCAGCGAUGCCAGAGAGGAAUCCAUUGAUGCAGGAGUGUUGAUUCGUUAACUGUCUGUAUCUGUGAUCACAUUCAAGACCAUGCACGUGCUCAAGGCUGUGACUGAGACCUGCGCUUGCACAAAGUUACUGGUGUGGCUGCAGCUUGGGGAGGCAAGAAGCCUGAAAUGUGAGUCCUGAUUUUGUCAAAUUAGAGGAGGAAAGACACUGAGGACAACUAUGAAGAAUCCCAUCUUCUGGAGUUUAUCACAAUCCCUUUUCUGCUCCAGACUGUGAGAGUACGCAGGGAGCAUCUCUCUUUGCAAAUGUUCUCAGAGGAAACUGCCACAGAAGCUGAACUCUGACGUACCUGCUGCAUGAUGGGAGGGUGAAUUCCUGUAUUUUACCAGGGAGGAUCCAGAAACCAUUUCCUCCAACGACCAAAGGGAUUUCUGGCUUUCUUGACUGAGAAUUGAAACGAUUUUAAAUUGUGUCGCUGUUCUGGUGGGGCAGAAUGGUCUCCCUGUCAGUGAACUGUCUUCUGUAUUAUUAAGUUAGCAUUGCGUUGGAGUUGAAAAAGCAGAGGCCAAUUGCCAAAUAAAACAAGG
ensembl:lncRNA